rnacentral:rRNA from 1 species
CAGUCGUAAACUAUGGUGUACUACACCCGCCAGAGAAUUACAAGCGACCAGCUUGAAACUCAAAGGACUUGACAGUAUCUCAUACACCCCUAGAGGAGCCUGUCCUAGAAUCGAUAACCCACGAUAAACCUCACCUGCCCUUGCACCAGUCAGCCUAUAUACCUCCGUCGCCAGUCCGCCUGUCAACAGCCCCCAAAGCGCAUACAACAGCCAACCGCUCACACGACAGGUCAAGGUGUAGCUAAUGGGCCGAGCAGAGAUGGGCUACAUUUUCUUUAGCUAGAAAAUACCUAAAAUGCCAUGCAAACCGCACACGAGGUGGAUUUAGCAGUAAGGGGGGUAAGAAAAACCCACUUGAAGCUUACCAUGAGAUGUGU